rnacentral:rRNA from 1 species
GACGUAGGGCGCAAGCGUUGUCCGGAUUUAUUGGGCGUAAAGAGCUCGUAGGCGGCUCGUUGCGUCGGCUGUGAAAAACCCGCAGCUCAACUGUGGGCCUGCAGCCGAUACGGGCGGGCUAGGAUUCGGUAGGGGAGACUGGAAUUCCUGGUGUAGCGGUGAAAAUGCGCAGAUAUCAGGAGGAAUACCAGUGGCGAAGGCGGGCCUUCUGGACUGAACACUGACCGCUCAUGCACGAAAGCGUGGGGAGCGAAACAAGGAU